UACGUAGGUGGCAAGCGUUGUCCGGAAUUAUUGGGCGUAAAGCGCGCGCAGGCGGUCCUUUAAGUCUGAUGUGAAAGCCCACGGCUCAACCGUGGAGGGUCAUUGGAAACUGGGGGGCUUGAGUACAGGAGAGGAGAGUGGAAUUCCACGUGUAGCGGUGAAAUGCGUAGAGAUGUGGAGGAACACCAGUGGCGAAGGCGACUCUUUGGCCUGUAACUGACGCUGAGGCGCGAAAGCGUGGGGAGCAAACAGG
rnacentral:rRNA from 1 species